rnacentral:lncRNA from 1 species
UCAGAGGACGGCUGAAUGGAGUUGCAUUUCAGUGCCCACAGAUGGAGGUGAUGACUGAAGUGUGUUUGCUUAUGUGGGGAGUGAGAUGAUGGCUUUGGUGUCUGAGUGGAUGCUAGUGCCUUGAGUGGCCAGCAGAGGGCAGUGGUGACCCAUAGCUGUGACAACCGUGAGGCGUGUGGUCAGUGAAUCUGCAUGGGCACAACCUGAGAGGGGCUUUUGUUGGAGUGGGGAGAUUCUUUCGGACUUAAGCUUUGUGCGUGGUAUAUCCAGAAUCAGAUGGGCCAGUGCCAAGUUCAGUCAGGUUCUCAGCCUUACAGUGAAGGAAAAGGUUAGUGACUUGUAUUUCAGCCCAAAGCCUACUGGAAGUGUCAAGCUGCCAGCUCCCCUCUGCCCUCCCCGUUGCUAUGGCAGCCAUGUCUCUGUGUGUGAAUAGGUGAACCAGGCUCCAGGUUAGGACCUCUGCCCACCUAGCUCCAGGUUACAUGCAGGAAAAGAUCUGUCUAUUGCUGCAUGUGAACAAGGAGAUCCCAUAUUUCUAGCAGGUCACAGAGGCAGCAGUCCAUUAUCACUUGCCUGCCCACCUACCCUGGGCAACCAGCACAUGGCUCCUUAGACCUUGAAGAUGGAGGCCUGGGGACAGAAGGAGCAGAGUUGGGGGCUAGUGAUAGGGCCUGGGAAAUGUUCUUGUCUGUUUCAAGUUUAUCUUGUAUUUUGGGGCCCUGGUCUCCUCAGUCUUCCAGCCCAACAGGUGUGAGCGUCCAGGGCCACCACCCGGAAGCCAGCUGCCUCUUCAUGGGGAAAUCUUUGAAAUUCAAGGCUUGGCCAUCUGGAUAUGCAAAUGUUCCAGAUUUGCUGAGCCCACCAAGUGGCUGAGCCCCAGGCAUGGGAGAGCUUAGGCCAGCCUGUAUGUGUGUGUGCAGAAGGGGACUGCACAUGUGUUCAGGAGCUUGAGAGUGAGAAUUGUGAGCAUGUACACUCCUUAGUGUUUAUGCAUCAGGGUGUGAUGCAUAAACACGAAGGCUCUGUAGCCUUUGAAGAACAGGAUCAGAUCUGGGUUUGAAUCACAAGACCAUGGGUUUUCAGUUGGGCAAUAAACUUAUCUGUCUUUUGCUUUGAUUUUCUCAUCUAGAAAACGGGCACUUGGUCACCAGCCUGACCCAUAGGCAA